rnacentral:rRNA from 1 species
GGGGAAUAUUGCACAAUGGAGGAAACUCUGAUGCAGCGACGCCGCGUGAGCGAUGAAGGUUUUCGGAUCGUAAAGCUCUGUCCUAUGGGACGAUAAUGACGGUACCAUAGGAGGAAGCCCCGGCUAACUACGUGCCAGCAGCCGCGGUAAUACGUAGGGGGCAAGCGUUGUCCGGAAUGACUGGGCGUAAAGGGUACGUAGGCGGCUAGGUAAGUCAGAUGUGAAAGGCAUGGGCUCAACCCAUGUAAGCAUUUGAAACUGCUUAGCUUGAGUUAAGGAGAGGAAAGUGGAAUUCCUGGUGUAGCGGUGAAAUGCGUAGAUAUCAGGAGGAAUAUCAGUGGCGAAGGCGACUUUCUGGACUUAUACUGACGCUGAGGUACGAAAGCGUGGGGAGCAAAC